rnacentral:lncRNA from 1 species
UGGUGGAGAGAAUACCAAGGGGAAACUGAGUUACAGAGCUUUUCUGCACUGAGUCAUCAGGAGCAAAUGCUAGAUCAGGUAAUUGAACCCAAGCAAUCUGGUUCCAGAGCCAAAUAGAUGUAUUUUUUAUGGUAUAAAUGCAUAUACAUAUACUUUUAGGGGAAGGGUGGGGGUAGGAUGGGAUGAGGAUUCUGGGUAAUUUCUUGGUAAAUGCCAAAUACCUUUCUUGUCUGUCCCUCUUUUCAAAUGAUA